UACAGAGGGUGCGAGCGUUAAUCGGAAUUACUGGGCGUAAAGGGCGCGUAGGCGGUUAAUUAAGUGAAAUGUGAAAUCCCUGGGCUUAACCUAGGAACUGCAUCUCAUACUGGUUAACUAGAGUACGAUAGAGGACAGUGGAAUUUCCGGUGUAGCGGUGAAAUGCGUAGAUAUCGGAAGGAACAUCAGUGGCGAAGGCGACUGUCUGGAUUGAUACUGACGCUGAGGCGCGAGAGCGUGGGGAGCAAACAGG
rnacentral:rRNA from 1 species